CCUCCAACUUUCCUCUCUGUGCUCCUGCCCAAACCUAGCCCUGGCUCGAUAUCGCUGACGAGAUGGCCUGAGUGUUCCAGCAAGGACUUUGGAGAAUGCGAGAGCAGCUGAGGUUGGCCUCAACAGCACACUUCAAAACAGAUACACAGGUGUCAUUUCGUCCAGUUCAGAAGCACCAUUCUACAGCAGAGUAACACACAGAGGAAACAACUAUGCACUACCUCCGAUGAUGGUGAGGGACUCUACCACGUCAUGACGUCACGUCAGG